rnacentral:rRNA from 1 species
GAUGAACGCCGGCGGUGUGCCUAAUACAUGCAAGUCGAACGCGUUGGCCCAAUUGAUUGAUGGUGCUUGCACCUGAUUGAUUUUGGUCGCCAACGAGUGGCGGACGGGUGAGUAACACGUAGGUAACCUGCCCAGAAGCGGGGGACAACAUUUGGAAACAGAUGCUAAUACCGCAUAACAGCGUUGUUCGCAUGAACAACGCUUAAAAGAUGGCUUCUCGCUAUCACUUCUGGAUGGACCUGCGGUGCAUUAGCUUGUUGGUGGGGUAACGGCCUACCAAGGCGAUGAUGCAUAGCCGAGUUGAGAGACUGAUCGGCCACAAUGGGACUGAGACACGGCCCAUACUCCUACGGGAGGCAGCAGUAGGGAAUCUUCCACAAUGGGCGCAAGCCUGAUGGAGCAACACCGCGUGAGUGAAGAAGGGUUUCGGCUCGUAAAGCUCUGUUGUUAAAGAAGAACACGUAUGAGAGUAACUGUUCAUACGUUGACGGUAUUUAACCAGAAAGUCACGGCUAACUACGUGCCAGCAGCCGCGGUAAUACGUAGGUGGCAAGCGUUAUCCGGAUUUAUUGGGCGUAAAGAGAGUGCAGGCGGUUUUCUAAGUCUGAUGUGAAAGCCUUCGGCUUAACCGGAGAAGUGCAUCGGAAACUGGAUAACUUGAGUGCAGAAGAGGGUAGUGGAACUCCAUGUGUAGCGGUGGAAUGCGUAGAUAUAUGGAAGAACACCAGUGGCGAAGGCGGCUACCUGGUCUGCAACUGACGCUGAGACUCGAAAGCAUGGGUAGCGAACAGGAUUAGAUACCCUGGUAGUCCAUGCCGUAAACGAUGAGUGCUAGGUGUUGGAGGGUUUCCGCCCUUCAGUGCCGGAGCUAACGCAUUAAGCACUCCGCCUGGGGAGUACGACCGCAAGGUUGAAACUCAAAGGAAUUGACGGGGGCCCGCACAAGCGGUGGAGCAUGUGGUUUAAUUCGAAGCUACGCGAAGAACCUUACCAGGUCUUGACAUCUUGCGCCAACCCUAGAGAUAGGGCGUUUCCUUCGGGAACGCAAUGACAGGUGGUGCAUGGUCGUCGUCAGCUCGUGUCGUGAGAUGUUGGGUUAAGUCCCGCAACGAGCGCAACCCUUGUUACUAGUUGCCAGCAUUAAGUUGGGCACUCUAGUGAGACUGCCGGUGACAAACCGGAGGAAGGUGGGGACGACGUCAGAUCAUCAUGCCCCUUAUGACCUGGGCUACACACGUGCUACAAUGGACGGUACAACGAGUCGCGAACUCGCGAGGGCAAGCAAAUCUCUUAAAACCGUUCUCAGUUCGGACUGCAGGCUGCAACUCGCCUGCACGAAGUCGGAAUCGCUAGUAAUCGCGGAUCAGCAUGCCGCGGUGAAUACGUUCCCGGGCCUUGUACACACCGCCCGUCACACCAUGAGAGUUUGUAACACCCAAAGUCGGUGGGGUAACCUUUUAGGAGCCAGCCGCCUAAGGUGGGACAGAUGAUU